UAGAGUGGCAUGCCCUUUGCCAUUGGUAUUUAUGGAUUUUUCUACUCUGGGCAUUCAGUAUUUCCAAACAUCUACCAGUCAAUGUCUGAUCACUCUAAGUUCCCUGUGGCACUAUUCAUAUGGUAUGCUUGGCUAUAUUCAUGUUUCGGUUUACCUUGUUACUGAAUAAUGAAUAUUUUUUCGCAAGGUGUGAUGGUAUUUUCGCAAGGCUUCUACCUGUUGCAUAUGGCCCUUGGAUAGUUCCUUUUUUGCAUUUAGCAUGCAAUCCAUUCUUUGUUCUUAUCCCUUCUAACUUCAAGUCACCACCACUAGCCGCAAUCACAUUGCUUUGUUUAUUUUCCAGUGAGCUAGCUCUUUUGGCCUCUAAUUCUUUUUAUCUGUGUAGUACUAUAUUCAUCCAGUCAGUAGAUAUGAAUUCUGCUCUUUGAAGGAUGUGCACAGUGCACUGCUAUCUUGAACCUGGCGAUAUUAGCCAGUGCGCCGUGAGACCAAAGAAGAGUAGCAUCUGUGAAGUUCAUAUAAUUGAAAGUCAAACUCAUUGGGAAUGGUCCACUUGAAUGUUAACGUUUGAGAAGAUGUACCUAACAACUGGUUGCCACCUCCAUGGGCACUUCCUCUACUGGAUAUCCUUGGGUUCAACAAGCUUAUGACAUUACUGAGGGUUUUUUUCUUCUAUAGAAACAUACAUGCAUGCCAGUUUUGAAUUAUUACUUCUGACUAGGCUAACUUCUUCACUUGAGUAACCGGAAUCCGCUUUACCUGUUUGUCUUCUUUGUGAUUAUCUCAUUGUAAAAGCCAUCUGGGUCUAAUCAGAAAUUGGCAGGGAAUUCCAACACAAUUUUGUAAUUAUUCAAACAGGUUUGCUUGCUCUUUCUCUUCCCUUCCUGCUUGAUAAUUCCUGAAUUGUGUUAGGCCUUGUGCUAUUUUAUUUUUGUUCAAAUAUGCAUGGCUUUCAUUUAAUAGAAUUGUCUUUUGAAUUACUGCUCUCAGGACAAGUCCAAUUGAGUUUGUUGUCCCAUGUGAUUGCUAUAUGUAACCUUUAGAAUUUCCUUAUCACAAGUCCAAAUCGAUUUUUAUUUAUUUGAUUUAUCUGUCCCCUGGACGACGCACAAUAAAGCUACCUUUCCAAAUGGAAGUUUAGGUUACAAUAUUUCCUCUCCCUCUCGAGAUUCAACUGUUAAAAGUGGAGAGCCUAUGAAAGCUUAAGGGGAGAUCAAGGUUGGGAUUUUGGAUAAAUUAGUUGUUGAUAAGGAAAAGAAAAAAGGUAUAAGAAGCCGCCAUGACCUCUAAGAUCACCGACUACUUCACCAUUAGACACUGUUGAUCAGAAGCUCAUCAGUGAACUAAACUAUCGGAGCUUGCGGUGUUAAAGAGGGCUAGGAUGGAGAGCGUAUGAAGGCAUUGGAGAAGAUGAAUAAUUCCAAACCAGCAUCUUCAAUUGCGAAUCUGGUGGCUUUGAUCAUUUCCGUCAUCUUUUGCUUCUUCAUACUUUGGCAAGGUAUAACAUCUGAUAACCCAUCAGUUAUGUUAACAUGCAUUAUGUUCUAUGCACAAUCAGAUUCUUGUUCACCAGCACUGGUUGUGCAUAACAGUAAAUCAUCUUUGUUGCUCCUACUACAUCCAUUUUGAGAUAGAAAUUUCGUACUUAAUCACCAUUACAAUAUGACCAUUACAAUAUGACAUGUGUUCACUACAGUUAUACUUGCAUUCACUUUGCAACCAAUACCUUGUUAGUUAUUUUUAAAAUGGUCUUUGACUAAUUCCUUCAAUGUUCUACUGGUCUACUGCAUCUCUGUUAACCAAUACCAUUAGUCUUUAUUAAUUUGACUUUGCCUAGAAACAACAGAUGUGUAGGAUAUGCACAAAAGCACUUAUUGAGUUGAGUGGUAAUAUAUACCAUCAACUCCUAGGGAAUUUGAUUUUAUUCCUCAACGUUUAUGCAUUUCAUUUACUACCUUCAUUCUUUUUUUCAAAAGUGUUUAGUGCAUCAACAUUGUUUUCAAUAAAUGUCUUUGAUUGUUGCCUUUUAUUGCUAUAUGUUGGGCCGUUUUGUUGCGUUGUUUUGCACACAAAUGGAGUGCAUAUUGUGGCGGCUACGAAGGACCGAUGUUUCUGUGUGGCGGUGACAACGACGUCGUGGAGCCAAGUCAAUGCCGGCAAGCUGAUUUUUAGAUUAGAAUCUGUGGUUCUUUUAUGUUCUAGGAUCUUAAAAAAUAUUUGUCAGAACGUAAACAUUUGUUCUGAGGUCAUUUAGGCCUCAAACAAAAUUUCUUGAACUUAUUUUGUUGAUGAAGGGAAUGGGACAUCUCGAGAUCUAAAUAUGUAUA